rnacentral:rRNA from 1 species
UACAGAGGGUGCAAGCGUUGCUCGGAAUUAUUGGGCGUAAAGGGUAGGUAGGUGGUCUCAUUUGUCGGGGGUGAAAGCCUUGGGCUUAACCCAAGAAGUGCCUUCGAAACGGUGAGACUGGAGUCCUGGAGAGGGUCGUGGAAUUCCCGGUGUAGCGGUGAAAUGCGUAGAGAUCGGGAGGAACACCAGAGGCGAAGGCGACGACCUGGACAGGUACUGACACUCAACUACGAAAGCGUGGGGAGCAAACAGG